rnacentral:rRNA from 1 species
GACGAACGCUGGCGGCGUGCUUAACACAUGCAAGUCGAACGAUGAAGCCAGCUUGCUGGUGGAUUAGUGGCGAACGGGUGAGUAACACGUGGGUGAUCUGCCCCAAACUUUGGGAUAAGCCUGGGAAACUGGGUCUAAUACCGAAUAUGACCGAUACUCGCAUGGGUGUUGGUGGAAAGCUCCGGCGGUUUGGGAUGGGCCCGCGGCCUAUCAGCUUGUUGGUGGGGUAAUGGCCUACCAAGGCGACGACGGGUAGCCGGCCUGAGAGGGCGACCGGCCACACUGGGACUGAGACACGGCCCAGACUCCUACGGGAGGCAGCAGUGGGGAAUAUUGCACAAUGGGCGCAAGCCUGAUGCAGCGACGCCGCGUGAGGGAUGACGGCCUUCGGGUUGUAAACCUCUUUCACCAGGGACGAAGCGAAAGUGACGGUACCUGGAGAAGAAGCACCGGCCAACUACGAGCCAGCAGCCGCGGUAAUACGUAGGGUGCGAGCGUUGUCCGGAAUUACUGGGCGUAAAGAGCUCGUAGGCGGUUUGUCGCGUCGUUCGUGAAAACUUGGGGCUUAACUCCAAGCGUGCGGGCGAUACGGGCAGACUUGAGUACUGCAGGGGAGACUGGAAUUCCUGGUGUAGCGGUGAAAUGCGCAGAUAUCAGGAGGAACACCGGUGGCGAAGGCGGGUCUCUGGGUAGUAACUGACGCUGAGGAGCGAAAGCGUGGGUAGCGAACAGGAUUAGAUACCCUGGUAGUCCACGCCGUAAACGGUGGGUACUAGGUGUGGGUUCCUUUUCACGGGAUCCGUGCCGUAGCUAACGCAUUAAGUACCCCGCCUGGGGAGUACGGCCGCAAGGCUAAAACCCAAAGGAAUUGACGGGGGCCCGCACAAGCGGCGGAGCAUGUGGAUUAAUUCGAUGCAACGCGAAGAACCUUACCUGGGUUUGACAUACGCUAGAAAGCCAUAGAGAUAUGGCCCCCCUUGUGGUUGGUGUACAGGUGGUGCAUGGCUGUCGUCAGCUCGUGUCGUGAGAUGUUGGGUUAAGUCCCGCAACGAGCGCAACCCUUGUCCUGUGUUGCCAGCACGUAAUGGUGGGGACUCGCAGGAGACUGCCGGGGUCAACUCGGAGGAAGGUGGGGAUGACGUCAAGUCAUCAUGCCCCUUAUGUCCAGGGCUUCACACAUGCUACAAUGGCCGGUACAGAGGGCUGCGAUACCGUGAGGUGGAGCGAAUCCCUUAAAGCCGGUCUCAGUUCGGAUCGGGGUCUGCAACUCGACCCCGUGAAGUCGGAGUCGCUAGUAAUCGCAGAUAAGCAACGCUGCGGUGAAUACGUUCCCGGGCCU